CGGCAAACGGGUGCGGAACACGUACGCAACUUUCCCAAAACUGGUGAAUAGCCUUCCGAAAGGGAGAUUAAUACACCGUAAGAUGUAGGAGUGGCAUCACUCUUAUAUUAUAGCUCCGGCGGUUUUGGAUGGGCGUGCGCCUGAUUAGGUAGUUGGCGGGGUAACGGCCCACCAAGCCAACGAUCAGUAACUGGUGUGAGAGCACGACCAGUCACACGGGCACUGAGACACGGGCCCGACUCCUACGGGAGGCAGCAGUAAGGAAUAUUGGUCAAUGGACGCAAGUCUGAACCAGCCAUGCCGCGUGAAGGAUGACGGCCCUCUGGGUUGUAAACUUCUUUUAUCUGGGACGAAAAACGGACUUUCUAGUUCACUUGACGGUACCAGAGGAAUAAGCACCGGCUAACUCCGUGCCAGCAGCCGCGGUAAUACGGAGGGUGCAAGCGUUAUCCGGAUUUACUGGGUUUAAAGGGUGCGUAGGUGGGUAGGUAAGUCAGUGGUGAAAUCUUCAAGCUUAACUUGGAAACUGCCAUUGAUAC
rnacentral:rRNA from 1 species